rnacentral:ribozyme from 1 species
AAAAAGAAAAUUAAUCUCGAGUAUCAGUAUCCUUCUUGUGGUUUUCUCUUUUUGCUUUCUCAAGUUGAUGUAUCUUCUUCCUUUGCCGUCGCCUCUUACGUCAAUGAAAAAAAAAAGUCAACAGAAAAGUCAAACAAGAAAUAAUUCAAACGAAAGGAAAGAAAAAGCGUUGCUCGUUGUUUUCUUUUUGCCAAUGUUGUAAAUCAAAUGUGUCUAAAAGGACAA